rnacentral:tRNA from 2 species
UCCUAGUUAGCUCAGUUCGCAAAGCGCUGUACUGGAAAUGGAGCGGUCCCUGGUUCGAUACCAGGACCAGGUU